UACGGGGGGGGCAAGCGUUGUUCGGAAUUACUGGGCGUAAAGGGUUCGUAGGUGGCUUGUUAAGUCAGACGUGAAAUCCCUCGGCUCAACCGGGGAACUGCGUCUGAGACUGAUGAGCUCGAGUGCAGGAGAGGAACGCGGAAUUCCGGGUGUAGCGGUGGAAUGCGUAGAGAUCCGGAGGAAGACCGGUGGCGAAGGCGGUCUGCUGGGCAGUUUCUGACACUGAUGCGCGACAGCGUGGGGAGCAAACAGG
rnacentral:rRNA from 1 species